AUGCGUGCUAAAUGUGAAGGCAUCUUUCCUAUCACCAUAGUACACCGGCAGGCUGAGAGUGAAGUUGACAACCCGUUGCACCACCGGGAAGAGCUCACGGCGAUGCUCAAACCGAGCUUGGUUGGUGGUCUUCCAUUCAUCUUCUAUCAUCGAGUCGAUUGCAGCAAAGGCGACCUUGUCUGUAACCUUAUGCUCACUGACGUAGCAAUCCACACAGUUGGCCACGUCCCCCCUAUUGUUCCGGUGCUGCAUGCUUUAGAUGAGCCAGCAAGGUCAUUCAUUAAGCGCCCAAUCUUGGCGCACGCCAUGAUGACAUCGGGGUAUCCAAGUGCCCACUCGAGUGCUCCCUUGGGUGCUCCAUCACCCAUGCAAACCAUCGUAUACACACAUAGCGCGGUGACGCCCGUGGACAUGGCAGCCAGAUGCAGUUUAUCUUUAAAGCUUGGCUUGUGGUUCUGGUGUAACCACUCAGCUUCUUGGAGAUAA
rnacentral:rRNA from 1 species